AUUGAACGCUGGCGGCAUGCCUUACACAUGCAAGUCGAACGGCAGCACGGGUGCUUGCACCUGGUGGCGAGUGGCGAACGGGUGAGUAAUACAUCGGAACGUACCUUAUCGGGGGGGAUAACGCAGCGAAAGCUGUGCUAAUACCGCAUACGCCCUGAGGGGGAAAGCGGGGGAUCGCAAGACCUCGCGCGAUUAGAGCGGCCGAUGCCUGAUUAGCUUGUUGGUGGGGUAAAAGCCCACCAAGGCGACGAUCAGUAGCUGGUCUGAGAGGACGAUCAGCCACACUGGGACUGAGACACGGCCCAGACUCCUACGGGAGGCAGCAGUGGGGAAUUUUGGACAAUGGGGGCAACCCUGAUCCAGCAAUGCCGCGUGAGUGAAGAAGGCCUUCGGGUUGUAAAGCUCUUUUGUCAGGGAAGAAACACCGGCUCUAACACAGUCCGGGAAUGACGGUACCUGAAGAAUAAGCACCGGCUGACUACGUGCCAGCCGCCGCCGUAA
rnacentral:rRNA from 1 species